GUAGUCAUUUUUACAGUAUAUAUACUAAAAUUGGAGCAAUAUAUAGAAAAUUAACAUUACCAUUCAACAAGGAUGACAUUCAAAAUCUUGAGGCGUCCCUCAGUUUU